rnacentral:lncRNA from 1 species
GUCGUUACCCCCGCCGCCGCGGCUGCUGCAGCUCGGGUCCCUUCUGCGCUGCCGCAGGGAGGCCGCCCGGGCCAGGCGAGCCGAACCAAUGCUGGACCUGGAGGUAGUGCCCGAACGCUCUCUGGGGAACGAGCAAUGGGAAUUCACGCUGGGAAUGCCUCUGGCUCAGGCAGUAGCCAUUCUUCAGAAGCACUGUCGCAUCAUCAAAAACGUCCAGGUUCUCUACAGUGAACAGAAUUUUGCUGUUGUUGCGCAAACUGGA